AGCCAGACACCAUGCUAAGUAAGUACCAAGUUAAAUACUUCAUCAUCCCCGGCCUCAAGAAGCCCAGAGUGAGCAAAGCUGUGCAGUUGAAAGGAUUAGCACGAAUCAUUCAUCUGGUGAUUACAGAUUUGCAAAGACUCAAAUACAUCCCAAGAUGGAAGAAUCACAGGGACUAUGUUGGAUGAAUGUACAUACAUUGGUCUAGCAGUUUGACUGAAUUGGAAAAUCAACAAGAAUUAG